rnacentral:lncRNA from 1 species
AAUAUUUUUAAAGAGUAUUAUCAUUUGGUACAAUUUAAUUUCAGUUUUUAAAUGUUUGUCUUCUUCUGUUGGGAUACAGAGAGUUUAAAGGUAUGGUGAUUCCAUUCUAGAUAGGCAUUUCUUGAAAGGUUUUCCUUUUGGGUUGAUAUCAUCAGGCUUUUGGAAACCUGGAAUUAAGUCUGGUCUCUUCCCAACAUUCCCCCCACCCCGCCCCCGGUUUCUUGUUGGAGCUGACUUGUUUCCUGGACCCUCGCUGCAGGUUGCUGAAUGCGGAUGUAUUGGCCUUCUCAGGGCUCCAUAAGGGGAAAAAGCUGAUACCCAAGGCUCCACAUCUUCCUGGGGGUUCAGGGCUGAGGAAGCUUCUUGAAGCUGGCUGAUUCUUAGGCUAAGCUUCCCAUCAAAACGGACUUCCCCCAGCAGGCUUUCGAACAUACAUUUCCUAACCCAGAUGGCCUCGCCAGCCUGGACACCUGGCUGAGGAGGAGGAAGUGGCACCUCCUGUGUCCAAAUUAGUGCCGCUUCCGUGAUGGUGCUGGCGGUCUCAGCUGUGCUCCUGCCCGCCUUUCCCAUGGAGUGCCAGGGAGAUGCAGAGGGGCUUGCCCAGGGCACCUUCCCGCUGCAGCUCCAACAGGCACCAGGUCAGCCAAGGUGGAUAAAUUAUCCUUCCUUGGAAGGUCACUGCUCCAGGGGGUGGGGUGGGGGGCGCUCUUUUAAAGCCAAAUAAGGAAGAAGCAUGGAGUUCCCUGGUGGCCUAGUGGUUAAGGAUCUGGCAUUGUCACUGCUGGGGGUGAGGUUCAGUCCAGGCCCCGGAAGUUCAACAUGCCAUCAGCAUGGCCAAAGAGGGGAAAAAAAAAAUUAGCAAGAAGCAAGAUCAUCUCUAGGGGAAACAGUGCAGUGGCCUCCUUGUUCUGGGUGCCCUUAGCCUGUUUUACUGCCUUUCUCCCUCCCUGUCCCUUAAGGCACACCCUGAAAAUGUACCUUUAUAGCACUUGGGGGGGGCACCUGGAACCCUGCCUUUUCUCCAGCCUGUUCUAGGCAAUGACCUUGGUGUCAGUCAUUUACACACUGGUGUGAAUGCAGGGUACUGGAUUUUGGACACGGAAGUAGGGGUGAGGAAGAGCUUCAGGUAGGGGCUUUCAGAUGUGUCUCCUUCUUACUCUCCAAAACCACUCCAUGUAAAUGAUCCUUUUCUGAGCAUCCAGUGGAUUCAGAGAUAUUUAGAUGAAGCAGGAGGUGGAUUAAUCACGUCCUCCUCAGAAUCCGAAUGGUUUUGGCAAACUCUGUGGUCUGACACCACUCAUACUUGAGUGACGACUUCUAAAAAUAUACCUUGUGUUUUUUUCAAAGCUCUUUUUUUCUGGCAUACAGAAUUUCCUGGGUCAGGGAUCUGUGACUACACCACAGCUGCGGCCACACCGAUCCUUAACCCCCUGUACUGGGCUGGGGGGCCGGGGAUCGAACCUGAGCCACAGUAGAGACAACCCCAGAUCCUUAACCCACUGCGCCACAGGGAGAACUCCUAAAAGCUCUUUUCAUUUAAACCGUGUGAUGUGCCCGUACAAACCUUCAAAAUUUUUCACUUGGGCAGUGAGUGGAUACACCCACAAAUACAAAAGUAAACCUGAGGUGUUAAGACAGGCAGGCAGGGAUGAUGAAGAUUUAACUUGUAGGACUGUCACCCUCAAGCCACAGGAAUUCUCCAGAAUGAACACAGAGAACGCAGCAUCCUCAUACAUCCUGGCCUGUGCUCAGGCUGACAUCUGCAUGGUGACACAUUACUGACAGGUAACUCGAUGGACUGAAACACAUCAAUCCAAAGACCAGCCCAAGGAAAGCCUUGUUAAAUUAUACCAUGGUCCAGAAGCUCUAUUUCCAGGCCUUUGGGCCCAGAGGCAGGCAGUACACGGUGACCGGUGGUCAUGUUUAGGGUUAGGGUCCUGGUUGGAAGAAUUACAUCUCCUGACAACCAGGCAGACUAUUCAGAGAAUCCUGUUACCAGGGGAGCUCCUCCUUACCUGAUAGCAGCUGGUCCUCAGGGAUGCCUCCCAGGCCUGGGCUGGUGGUGGAGAUCUGGCUGACCCACCCUGUAUCUCUGGAUGUCAUCAGCAUCCUGGCAUCGAUAGCAAAAUGAGAAGCAGUUAAAGUUUAUGUCUGCUUUGCAGUGUUUGGGCAACAUGGCCUUUCUCUCUUGCGGUCUUGGCCUUCGCUGGUUAGCUUGAGAUUUCUCCUAGCAAAAGCCUGGGCUCUUCCCUCUGAAUGAGACCUGAAAAUUCAUCUGGUCUGCCUCAUCGACUGCAGAUGGGAAAACCGAGAUAUCCUUCUUUAAACCUAUGGUGGGAAGAUGUUGCCUCCAGGCCGUGCAAAGCCCCACAGAUACCCAGGAAGGAAAGGCUAGCCCUGGGGGACUUCUCUGGCAGCCUCUGUGUUCCAGAUUCGUUUCACAGGCGAGCCUGGGAGGUUAUUUCUGUCGAAGGCACAGGGAGCCAAGCUUUAAGAAGAUAAAAUAGAGGAUAUGCAUUUUCUCAGGUAGAAAGAACUUGGGAGAAAGGCUGUGCCUGACCCUCCUUGUCAGAAAAAGACUCUGAAGUCCAGAGUGGUCCCAGGGUCCAUCUAAGGGGACAGAGCUCUAAGGCAGGCUUGUGGUGGGUUGGAUGGGGCUCCGGGGAAUGGUUGACAUUUCAGCAACCAAGAUACAGAGGAAAGAGGGUUGGGGAAGGGAAUGGUGCCAGUGGAGGUCGUGGGCUCCAUGACACUUGGGAGAAGGUGUAGGUGGCAGCUACAUGAGACCACAUGGGACCUUUACAGAUCUGCACCGUGGUGGGCCAAUAUGAAAAGGGGUAAUUAUAAUAAUUAUAUAAUUAUUAUAUUAAUUGUUAUUAUUAUUACGGGCCCUCCAUACAUCAGUUUUAUUAGGCGUUCAGUAGAAUAAUGCAUCCUGUAGAAUACAUUUCAUUAAGUCCUAGUCUUAGAACCAUUUUUGUGAAGGUUGGGAGAAUGUAAAGGCCCCGUGCAAUGGACUAGUGCCAGGUCCAUCGGGGGUUCCCAUAGGUGGGCAAGGUCUCAGGCAGCUCCUUUCCUGCAGCCCCGGGCUCCAUACUGCAAGAGUGGGAGUGUCAGGAGCUGCCCAGCCACUCCUAUGCCCGGUGUGACUUCAGAGCGGUUGCCCAUACAGGGUAGAAAAUGAAGUGGAUAGGGGCCUUUGGCUCUGCCCCCAUGCAACUGGCAGAUUCUGCGAUCAAGUAGCGCUCCCUGUCUGUGGCUUAGGAAUAAGGGGACAUGGCCAGUGUACCUCUUGUGACAGGGGUACCCUUGUCUUGGUCUUCUGCUGUGAUCCCUGCUGGAGCACCCACUUCCACUUCUGGUCCCCCUUAAAUGCAAGAAAUCUGACUUCUAGGCCAACUGGAUUCUUUAGAGGGCCAGCUUUCUGGCUCUCCCCAUGAGCCCACCUCCAAGAGGCCUCCGGAUGGCAAGCUCCCCUUUGGCUGCCAGAGCAGGAGAGGUCCUUGGGCAAGGCUGUCAGACCCCCAUAGUGAGUUGGCUGCAUUGUGUGCAUGUGGGGUUGUGGCUCUGGCAAAGCCACGGCUCCAAGAGAGAAUGCAAAAUGCCCUAGAAGUUGGCCUCCUGCCCCCACAAACGUGGUAAUUCCAAAUGUCACCUUGGCAUUUCCUUCUCAAAUAAAUUCUGUCUUGUUCCUAUUACAAGAAAACUGGAAACAUGGACUGCGGAACUUCUGUGUUUAUUUCUCAGUCCUCUGAUUGAGUUGCUGUGUGACAUGUUGAACUAUUAAAUUUCUUCCAUGGAUAAAUGUGAACAUGGACUUGGAGAUUUUUAUCUGUUGAGUACUGGAGGCCUGUGGUUUAUUUUGAGUCAAAGAAAAAAAAUUUGGACUUCCAUUGUGUGUGUGUGUUUGGGAAAAGGAUGUAAGGCAAAGAGUAGCCAAUAUUAAAUGACUGUGAAGAGCCGUAUAGAUGUUUUUUAAAAAUCACAGAUGGUUCAAAAGUUAGGAGGUCACUUGAUAACACUGCCAUCAGAAAUGAAGGAAUAAGGAAGAUGUGGUAUCCAUGAGGACAAAGGUUCGAUCCCUGGCCUCACUCAGUGGGUUGAGGAUCGGGCGUUGCCGUGAGCCGGGGUGUAGGUCACAGACUCAGCUUGGAUCCCACGUUGCUGUGGCUCUGGCGUGGGCCAGCAGCUAUAGCUCAGAUUUGACCUCUAGCCUGGGAACUUCCAUAUACCAUGGGUG